rnacentral:rRNA from 1 species
GACGAACGCUGGCGGCGCGCCUAACACAUGCAAGUCGAGCGAUGAAAUUUUAACCGAUCUCUUCGGAGAGAAGAUAAAAUGGAUUAGCGGCGGACGGGUGAGUAACACGUGAGAAACCUGCCUUUCACAAGGGGAUAGCCUCGGGAAACCGGGAUUAAUACCCUAUGACACAUUUCCUUCGCAUGGAAGAAAUGUUAAAACUCCGGUGGUGAAAGAUGGUCUCGCGCCUGAUUAGCUAGUUGGUGGGGUAACGGCCCACCAAGGCCAUGAUGAGUAACCGGCCUGAGAGGGUGAACGGUCACAUUGGAACUGAGACACGGUCCAAACUCCUACGGGAGGCAGCAGUGGGGAAUAUUGCACAAUGGAGGAAACUCUGAUGCAGCGACGCCGCGUGAGCGAUGAAGGCUUUCGAGUCGUAAAGCUCUGUCCUAUGGGAAGAUAAUGACGGUACCAUAGGAGGAAGCCCCGGCUAACUACGUG